AGUGUGAAGCACUUAAACUGCGAUACCCAGCACGUCUGGUGUUUCCCGGGAUGCUUUGCGAAAGCAUGGCAGCCACUUUGUGAGUGUCCGCAAGACGGUUAAAUAAAUAGGGCAUUUUAAUUCAAGAGAGGAAUAAGAAAAGUAGUACCUAACCUCUCUUAUAGAUUAUUUUCAUCUUGAUAUCCGCCUAACACAAUGCUUAAUAUCCGCCUGAGUGUGUGGAUUACAAACCUUUAGAAGUUGCAGUCCCGAAGCCUCAGGUUUUGUAAACAUGAUUUGUGCUUUUCUACGAGUUGUACAGCAUGCGGAGAAGCUGCACGGGUCCUUGGGCAGGCAGUUGUUGCCACAUUUUGUGUUCACCAAAGCUUGCUUUAAAACUCAGCCUUUGAGAUGGGGGCUGCGAGAGCAGAAGAAAACAGUGCAACCUAGAACUGUCCUUGGGUUCACCCAGAAAACUUUCUGGACACAAGGACCGGAACCCCGGAAAGCAAAGGAGGAUAGUAGCAAGCAAGUGUCUAUUCGCAGAAAUCAAAGAGAGGAAACCGGCGUCUCAACGUCUCAGAAAGUGAGAGAAGCUGGGAGAGACGUCAGCUACUUGAUAGUGGUGCUCUUUGGAGUCGGCCUUACAGGCGGCUUGUUAUACGCGAUCUUCAAAGAACUGUUUUUUUCAUCCAGCCCUAAUAUCAUAUAUGGGAAAGCCUUAGGAAAAUGCAGAACACACCCUGAGGUGAUUGGUGUAUUUGGUGAGCCUUUGAAAGGCUACGGGGAAAUGUCGAGACGUGGGCGGAGACAGCAUGUCCGUUUUUCUGAAUACGUAAACAAUGGGCUGAAGCGCAUCCGGGUGAAAUUCUACAUUGAGGGCUCUGAACCAGGGAAGCAAGGAACGGUACAUGCAGAAGUGGAGGAGAACCCAGGGAGUGGCCAGUUUGAAUUUCGAUACAUAUUUGUGGAAGUGACUCCUACAAGAUCCAUUAUUGUUGAAGAUAACCGUUCCCAAGAAAGUUAAAAGCCUCAAGCCAGCAUACUGCUUCCUGCCAAGAAUGAAGGGGUCUAUUCUCACUGUGAUCCUCAGUUCUCUUCCAGAAUUUGUUCAGAACAAGAGUAAAGUGUGUCACACAGAAAGGAAGUGCAGUGUACCACAUUUUAAGUGACAAGAUUUGUAUAUGUUUGGCCCAGGGAAUGGCCUUACUGGAGUGGAUGUGGCCUUGUUGGCAUGGGAUUUAAUGCCUUUGUCCUAACUGCCUGGAGGCCAGUAUUCUGCUACCAGCCUUCAGAUGAAAAUGUAGAACUCGGGCUGGUGAGAUGGCUCAGUGGGUAAGAGCACCCGACUGCUCUU